rnacentral:rRNA from 1 species
UACGUAGGUGGCGAGCGUUGUCCGGAUUUACUGGGCGUAAAGAGCGCGCAGGCGGCUGGUCAAGUCCGAUGUGAAAGCUCCCGGCUUAACUGGGAAAUUGCAUCGGAAACUGAUCGGCUGGAAGGUGGGAGAGGGUAGCGGAAUUCCCGGUGUAGUGGUGAAAUGCGUAGAUAUCAGGAGGAACACCAGUGGCGAAAGCGGCUACCUGGCCCAUUCUUGACGCUGAGGCGCGAAAGCUAGGGGAGCAAACGGG